rnacentral:rRNA from 1 species
AGGGUGUAAACGCUGCGGGCUUGGUGUUGGGGGUCCUUAGUGGGCGCCCAGUGCCGGAGAGAAGUUGUUAAGCCUGCUGCUUGGGGAGUAUGUCCGCAAGGAUGAAACUUAAAGGAAUUGGCGGGGGGAGCACAACAACGGGUGGAGCGUGCGGUUCAAUUGGAUUCAACGCCGGACAACUCACCAGGAGCGACGGUUACAUGAAGGCCAGGCUGAUGACCUUGCCUGAUUUUCCGAGAGGUGGUGCAUGGCGUAGUCGUGU